rnacentral:rRNA from 1 species
CAGUCGCCGCGGGAAUACGUAGGGGGCCAGCGUUGUCCGAAGUUACUGGGCGUAAAGCGCGUGUAGGUGGGUUUUUAAGUGAGGGGUGAAAGGUUCGGGCUUAACCUGGACACUGCCUUUCAUACUGGGAGCCUUGAGUGCGGGAGAGGCGAGUGGAAUUCUUGGUGUAGCGGUGAAAUGCGUAGAUAUCAAGAGGAACACCCAUGGCGAAGGCAGCUCGCUGGCCUGCAACUGACACUGAGACGCGAAAGCGUGGGGAGCAAACAGGAUUAGAUACCCCAGUAGUCCCUGUCUCUUAUAC